AGUGAACGCUGGCGGUAGGCCUAACACAUGCAAGUCGAACGGCAGCACAGUAAGAGCUUGCUCUUACGGGUGGCGAGUGGCGGACGGGUGAGGAAUACAUCGGAAUCUACUCUUUCGUGGGGGAUAACGUAGGGAAACUUACGCUAAUACCGCAUACGACCUACGGGUGAAAGCAUGGGAUCUUCGGACCUUGCGCGAUUGAAUGAGCCGGUGUCGGAUUAGCUAGUUGGCGGGGUAAAGGCCCACCAAGGCGACGAUCCGUAGCUGGUCUGAGAGGAUGAUCAGCCAAACUGGAACUGAGACACGGUCAAGAAUCCUACGGGAGGCAGAAGUGGGGAAUAUUAGGCAAUGGGCGGAAGCCUGAUCCAGCCAUACCGCGUGGGUGAAGAAGGCCUUCGGGUUGUAAAACCCUUUUGUUGGGAAAGAAAAGAGGCAGGUUAAUACCCCGCUGUUCUGACGGUACCCAAAGAAUAAGCACCGGCUAACUUCGUG
rnacentral:rRNA from 1 species